AGCUGUUGAUAGCUGAUGCGGGUAUCGUCUGAAGGUUCGUCGCCUUCCCAGAUGAUGGCUGUUUGUUCGGCUCGAGCUGGCAGAUG
rnacentral:tRNA from 1 species